GGAAACUUCCACAAAUGAAACCACAACCUCAUCAUGUCUCCACGGGAGCGCUAUCUGUUAAGACUGGACUUAAAUGUUAGGAUCUCGCUGUUCUCCCCUUGUCACAGUUCUGACCUUGGAAUCCGGAGGAAAUUCGAGAGAAAAGCGACGUUGAGUGCAGGGCUCUCUGGCUAGAGAGUUUAUGUGUGCGUGUGUGCUCGUACUUGUGAGGAUGAGGUUAUUUUUUGGUUGUGUGUGUAUGCGUGCGCGCGCGUGCGUGCGUGAGUGAGUGGGGUAUCCAAAUAUAGCCAGACUCAGAGAAUGGUGUUCAUUAUUUUAUGAGACAUGGAAAAGAGGAAGCAGUGUGCAAGCUUGUACACAAGGAUCUUGAAUAACUUGUGGUUAUUCCAGCCCUGGGUCUGAGCUUAAACAGAGAGAAGCAGACUCUCACACACACACACACACAGAGAGAGAGAGAGAGAGAGAGGGAUGGGAUUCCGAGUCAACAGAUCAGCAGAUCCCAUGCCUAAAUAACAGAUGCCAGCCACAUGAAUAAUGACAUUUGUGUGUGUUUUCUUAAAUACUUGUUAUCAUGUCAUUGAUUUAAUAGCUAUACCUAUGUAACACUUAUGGAUUUUUUCUUUGUCUUCUUCUUACAGUGCUGUAGAUUGUAAACAGGUGCACUGAGUGCAUAUUUAGUUAAAAUGUUCAGAUCUGUACGCUUUUGGAAUUGUUCCUUUUUAUGCUUUUUAACAAGAAAUAUGGCAUGAGGUUGACUCCCGUCCUCUGACUCCAUUUAAGAGGUGACGCGCUCACACCACUCUAAUCGCAUAUACAAACAGUGGAUUGUUAUUUUGUAUUAAAUGAUCAAUGACAAAACAAAUAUUUACAACUGCAAGCAAGGUUUUCAUUCAAAUUAAUUUUAGCAGUAUGUUAAAGUAUCAAGACGGUCAAACUGGUUGGUUUGUUUUGGUAAACACACCAUGCAUAAGGUUCAAAGCCCAGACAAAUCUCAUGUUGUGAUAUCCAGCCCAGUAAAAGUCUAAUUAUAAAAUCUGCACAGUAAAUUAUUAAUCAUGCUAUGCUAAAGAAGCUAUAUUCUUUAUAUAACCAAUGUAUAAUCUUUUUUUAUUACAUCUUAUUUUCUUUUUUUCUUGUUUUUUUUAAAUUAUAUUUAUAUUUCCUAAUAUGGUAGAUGUUAAUUAGACAGUUUAUUUUCAUGUUAUCAUUUUGAUCCCUUCCCCAAACCCCCAAACUUGCCGUUUUAUUCCUUAAUACAGGUUGGGUUGGGUUGUGGUGUGGGUGUUACUGAUGAUUCAGGACAUUGAGCAUGAUCCCUGAUUUCUGCAAAAUAACAUGUGUUGUCAGUCUACAUCAUUGUAUGAUGAUUUUGAAGAACAACACUAAUUACAUUUUUUCUUUCUAAACUCAAAAUACUCUCAUUACAAUACUCUUUUUUUUGGUUUAUUAAAAAGACACAUCCUUAACAUCCUUG